rfam:Thermoplasmatales archaeon SCGC AB-539-C06 MBGDC06_Contig85.84, whole genome shotgun sequence.
GCAGGGGUAGCCAAGCCAGGUCAAAGGCGAUAGACUCAAGAUCUAUUCCUGUAGAGGUUCGAGCGUUCGAAUCGCUCCCCCUGCA